rnacentral:rRNA from 1 species
UACGUAGGGUGCGAGCGUUAAUCGGAAUUACUGGGCGUAAAGCGUGCGCAGGCGGCAGCGUUAAGACAGGUGUGAAAGCCCCGAGCUUAACUUGGGAAUUGCGCUUGUGACUGGCGUGCUGGAGUGUGGCAGAGGGAGGUGGAAUUCCACGUGUAGCAGUGAAAUGCGUAGAGAUGUGGAGGAACACCGAUGGCGAAGGCAGCCUCCUGGGCCAGCACUGACGCUCAUGCACGAAAGCGUGGGGAGCAAACAGG